rnacentral:rRNA from 1 species
GACGAACGCUGGCGGCGUGCUUAACACAUGCAAGUCGAACGGGAUCCGGGCUUUCGGGUUUGGUGAGAGUGGCGAACGGGUGAGUAACACGUGAGUAACCUGCCCCCUUCUUUGGGAUAACGUCGGGAAAUCGGCGCUAAUACUGGAUAUUCUUGCUGCAUCGCAUGGUGUGGUUUGGAAAGGGUUUCUGGUGGGGGAUGGGCUCGCGGCCUAUCAGCUUGUUGGUGGGGUGAUGGCCUACCAAGGCUUUGACGGGUAGCCGGCCUGAGAGGGUGUCCGGCCACACUGGGACUGAGACACGGCCCAGACUCCUACGGGAGGCAGCAGUGGGGAAUAUUGCACAAGGGGCGCAAGCCUGAUGCAGCGACGCCGCGUGAGGGAUGACGGCCUUCGGGUUGUAAACCUCUUUCAGUAUGGAACAAGGAUCCUUCUUGUGGGGGGUUUGAGGGUACGUGCAGAAGAAGCGCCGGCUAACUACGUG